AGCCUGAUGCAGCGACGCCGCGUGAGGGAUGAAGGCCUUCGGGUUGUAAACCUCUUUCAGCCGGGAAGAAGCGAAAGUGACGGUACCUGCAGAAGAAGCGCCGGCUAACUACGUGCCAGCAGCCGCGGUAAUACGUAGGGCGCAAGCGUUGUCCGGAAUUAUUGGGCGUAAAGAGCUCGUAGGCGGUUUGUCGCGUCUGCUGUGAAAACUCGAGGCUCAACCUCGGGCUUGCAGUGGGUACGGGCAGACUAGAGUGCGGUAGGGGUGACUGGAAUUCCUGGUGUAGCGGUGGAAUGCGCAGAUAUCAGGAGGAACACCGAUGGCGAAGGCAGGUCACUGGGCCGCAACUGACGCUGAGGAGCGAAAGCAUGGGGAGCGAACAGGAUUAGAUACCCUGGUAGUCCAUGCCGUAAACGUUGGGCACUAGGUGUGGGGCUCAUUCCACGAGUUCCGUGCCGCAGCAAACGCAUUAAGUGCCCCGCCUGGGGAGUACGGCCGCAAGGCUAAAACUCAAAG
rnacentral:rRNA from 1 species